UACGUAGGGCGCAAGCGUUGUCCGGAAUUAUUGGGCGUAAAGAGCUCGUAGGCGGUUUGUCGCGUCGACUGUGAAAACCCGAAGCUUAACCUCGGGCCUGCAGUCGAUACGGGCAGACUAGAGUUCGGUAGGGGAGACUGGAAUUCCUGGUGUAGCGGUGAAAUGCGCAGAUAUCAGGAGGAACACCGGUGGCGAAGGCGGGUCUCUGGGCCGAUACUGACGCUGAGGAGCGAAAGCGUGGGGAGCGAACAGG
rnacentral:rRNA from 1 species